rnacentral:rRNA from 1 species
AGAGUUUGAUCCUGGCUCAGAGCGAACGCUGGCGGCAGGCUUAACACAUGCAAGUCGAGCGGGCGUAGCAAUACGUCAGCGGCAGACGGGUGAGUAACGCGUGGGAACGUACCUUUUGGUUCGGAACAACACAGGGAAACUUGUGCUAAUACCGGAUAAGCCCUUACGGGGAAAGAUUUAUCGCCGAAAGAUCGGCCCGCGUCUGAUUAGCUAGUUGGUGAGGUAAUGGCUCACCAAGGCGACGAUCAGUAGCUGGUCUGAGAGGAUGAUCAGCCACAUUGGGACUGAGACACGGCCCAAACUCCUACGGGAGGCAGCAGUGGGGAAUAUUGGACAAUGGGGGCAACCCUGAUCCAGCCAUGCCGCGUGAGUGAUGAAGGCCCUAGGGUUGUAAAGCUCUUUUGUGCGGGAAGAUAAUGACGGUACCGCAAGAAUAAGCCCCGGCUAACUUCGUGCCAGCCGCCGCGGUAAUAC